rnacentral:rRNA from 1 species
GACGAACGCUGGCGGCGUGCUUAACACAUGCAAGUCGAACGGUGAAGCACCUUCCUUUUGGUGGGUGUGGAUGAGUGGCGAACGGGUGAGUAACACGUGAGUAACCUGCCCCCUUCUUCUGGAUAACCGCAUGAAAGUGUGGCUAAUACGGGAUAUUCUGGGUCUGUCGCAUGGCGGGCCUGGGAAAGAUAUUGUUUCGGUGGGGGAUGGGCUCGCGGUCUAUCAGCUUGUUGGUGGGGUGAUGGCCUACCAAGGCGGUGACGGGUAGCCGGCCUGAGAGGGUGGACGGUCACACUGGGACUGAGACACGGCCCAGACCCCUACGGGAGGCAGCAGUGGGGAAUAUUGCACAAUGGGCGCAAGCCUGAUGCAGCGACGCCGCGUGAGGGAUGGAGGCCUUCGGGUUGUAAACCUCUUUCGCCAGUGAAGCAGGCCUGUCCCUUUUGUGGGUGGGUUGACGGUAGCUGGAUAAGAAGCGCCGGCUAACUACGUG